rnacentral:lncRNA from 1 species
GGACAGCUCGCCAAACAAACUUCCUGGUGGCCGUUCAGAAGGACAAAAUUCUUUGCCGAAGCAUGUGCCAGAGUUUGACAAUGCGCGGCAGCCAUUGGAAGCUUUUGGCACACACUGGGCCACAAGUGGGUUCCAGGGCUCUUAGGGACAGAGUGCUGCUAAUUUGUGUGGCAACUGCUUCAGAAUGGUGAGCGGAGACGACACCUGUUUAAGGAGCAGGAAGUCAGGACAGGGGAUAGAUUGAUUCUCCAGGCUGAGAAACGCUGGUAAAGGAAGGGGAAAGCCCCAUCUUGGAAGAAAUUUCAAUUAUCUGCUGACCUGUGUGCCUGAUGGCAGACUUACCAGCCUUUCCAUGACUCCUCGUACAUGACUUUUUCCAUUCCUGGAAGCAGUGUUUCUCUACUCCGGUUAAUUUGGUGCGAACUUACUUUGUUCAUGUGGACUUUACAUAUCAGAUACUGGAUACACAUCGCAAUAGCAGGACCCUGUAAAUACUGUCUUCUGGAUUUUCACCACAGCAUGAUGGAUUCCCAGCUUCAUAAACUGUAUAACUCAUGUGUAUAAACUUUCCUAAUUACUAAUACCUGGCUCUGUUUUAAUUCUGCUUCCAUAUGUUCUUGACUUCUCUGCAGAUAUAACAGUAAGUUUCAUGUCUCAUUGCUCAAUUAGUUGCUGUUGUUAGCUUAAUAAGUGAAAGGCUUUCUGGUGUCAUUGACCUGAUUUUUAGGAUUGCAAAAGGCUGUAUACAUCAUUUGUAUUUAUUGCCAAAUAAACCUUUGUAAGUGUAUGCUUUCCUUGGGCCC